rnacentral:rRNA from 1 species
CCUACGGGGGGCAGCAGUGGGGAAUCUUGCGCAAUGGGCGGAAGCCUGACGCAGCAACGCCGCGUGAGGGAUGACGGCCUUCGGGUUGUAAACCUCUUUCGCGAUCGACGAAGCUCGCACUUUUGGUGUGGGUGACGGUAGGUCGAGAAGAAGCACCGGCCAACUACGUGCCAGCAGCCGCGGUAAUACGUAGGGUGCGAGCGUUGUCCGGAAUUAUUGGGCGUAAAGAGCUCGUAGGCGGUGUGUCGCGUCGGCCGUGAAAACCUGGGGCUCAACUCUGGGCGUGCGGUCGAUACGGGCAGACUUGAGUUCGGUAGGGGAGACUGGAAUUCCUGGUGUAGCGGUGAAAUGCGCAGAUAUCAGGAGGAACACCGGUGGCGAAGGCGGGUCUCUGGGCCGAUACUGACGCUGAGGAGCGAAAGCGUGGGGAGCGAACAGGAUUAGAUACCCUUGUAGUC